UACGUAGGGACCAAGCGUUGUUCGGAUUUACUGGGCGUAAAGGGCGCGUAGGCGGCUUAACAAGUCACUUGUGAAAUCUCCGGGCUUAACCCGGAGCGGCCAAGUGAUACUGUCGUGCUAGAGUGCGGAAGGGGCUACUGGAAUUCUCGGUGUAGCGGUGAAAUGCGUAGAUAUCGAGAGGAACACCUGCGGCGAAGGCGGGUAGCUGGGCCGACACUGACGCUGAUGCGCGAAAGCCAGGGGAGCGAACGGG
rnacentral:rRNA from 1 species